CGUAGUAAUGUAAGAUCUUGAUUUCCUCAUCUGCAUAAGCCCCUUUAAUGCGUUGCUUUAUCAGUUCUGGUCAGGGUGGGGAGUGCUGCGUGUGUUGCAGGGCUGGAGCUCCAGCUUUGGGUGCUCACGUGUGGUGAGUCAGGCUGCAAACCGUUGCAGGUCCCCUCGGGAGGGACUGUGAUUUACAGUUUGGUGUUGGUUUCAGUUUUGGAGAUGGUAGCGUGGAUUUUCAUCAGUUUGAGGUUUUUCUCUUGGAUGCAUCAAGUCCAGAAGGUUACAAGUAAAAGCGCCCUCUAGAUUUUUAUGUCACAGCAUGAAUCCAGGAGCAGGCACUGAUAAAAACACUAAGUGUGACAGGCUCAUGCCAAAAUAUCCGAAACACUCUGGCCCAGCAUUCCUCAGCCAAGAAGCUGGAUAUGUAGAAUAUAUAGACUUCAUCUGGGUCAUUGCUGUGCUGGAAGAUGGGACAGCUGCCAGGUUUCUACAGUAGCUGCCGGAUAGUGGCUGAGUCUCAAGGUAGAGGAAAGCUCCUCCAUGCAGUGCUGUAUCGGCGAUCAAGAUGCAGCCCCACAAUCUCUGUGCUGCUUUGAAUGCAUCGCUCACAGCAAUCAGUUAUACUGGUUGAAUAAAUUCUUUAUUUCGGAUCUAGUUCUGAUGAAUGGCUCUGCCUGGUGCACAAAAGAGUCACAAGUGAAAUAUUGGAUCUCAGGGCUGUAUUCUGCCCUCUGAGGUGCUCCUGUGACCCCAUCCCAUUGCAUCUGCACAUGGAAGAGGAGAAAGGAGUCAGUAGCCUGCCCAUGGCAGCAUGGUCUAUUGAAAGGAAAGAGAGCUGUGUCUUGUAAAGUGCUGCUCUGCUAUAGUUCUGCAGGAAGCUUGAUCACUUUGGAUGACUUCUGAGACCAUGGACCACUUGAUUUUUUUGCAGGCUGUUACGUUAAUCUACAACAUUCACUUAGAAACUGGAGCAAAAUCUUCAAAAAAGGAAGAAGUGGACUGUCAGCAGCCAAACUCCUCCCAUAAGUGAAUUUUAAUCAUGGAAGGGAAAGAACAUCCUUGGAAUUGAAGAGCUACGUUCUGGGUACAUAAAGGACAGAAUUGUAUGUAUUAUUUUAUCAUCAUGUAUCUUUUAAUCUGGAAGAAUUUGUCUACAAACCUUUAGGAAUAAGAGAGUGCCUGGUUUUAUUCAGUAU